rnacentral:rRNA from 1 species
ACUAGCUGAAAGGUUAGCUAAUGCCGCAUACGACCUACGGGUGAAAGCAGGGGAUCUUCGGACCUUGCGUUAUUAGAGCGGCCGAUAUCUGAUUAGGUAGUUGGUGGGGUAAUGGCCUACCAAGCCGACGAUCAGUAGCUGGUCUGAGAGGACGAUCAGCCACACUGGAACUGAGACACGGUCCAGACUCCUACGGGAGGCAGCAGUGGGGAAUUUUGGACAAUGGGGGCAACCCUGAUCCAGCCAUUCCGCGUGAGUGAAGAAGGCCUUCGGGUUGUAAAGCUCUUUCGCAAGAGAAGAAAUCUUGUUAUCUAAUAAAUA